GCUUGUCUCAAAGAUUAAGCCAUGCAUGUCUAAGUAUAAGCCUUUACACGGUGAGACUGCGAAUGGCUCAUUAAAUCAGAAACUGUUUAUUUGAUAGUGCCUACUACUUGGAUAACCGUAGUAAUUCUAGAGCUAAUACAUGCGAAAAGACCCGACUUUUUGGAAGGGUUGUAUUUAUUAGAUACAAAACCAAUGCGGACUAAACAUCCGGUCUUGUGGUGAUUCAUAAUAACUUUUGCGGAUCGCAUGGCCUUGCGCCGGCGAUGAAUCAUUCAAAUUUCUGCCCUAUCAACUUUCGAUGGUAAGGUAUUGGCCUACCAUGGUUACCACGGGUAACGGGGAAUUAGGGUUCGGUUCCGGAGAGGGAGCCUGAGAAAUGGCUACCACAUCCAAGGAAGGCAGCAGG
rnacentral:rRNA from 1 species